CAUACCUAGAAUCCCAGCACCCUGGGAGGCUGAGGCAGGAGGAUCACUUGAGGCCAGAUCACUUGAGCCCAGGAGUUCAAGACCAGCCUGGACAACACAGCGAGACCUUAUUUCUAUUAAAUAAAACAACAGCAACAGCAACAACUACACAAACCCUACGUUCUCAUGGAGAGUCAUUUGCCACUCACUUCGGUGAACCGAACCCUGUUUUUUUCAGGUAACAAAUAUAACAUGUGAAAUUGUGUGUGUGAGUGUCGUGGGGGUGGGGGCUUUCUGUUAAAAUGUUGUAAUUAAUUUUGAAGCAGCCAGGCUCCCCAGCUUUUUUUUUUUUUUUUUUUUUUUUGAGACAGAGUCUUGCUCUGUCACCCAGGCUGGAGUGCAGUGGCACGAUCUCGGCUCACUACAACCCCUGCCUCCUGGGUUCAAGCGAUUCUUCUGCCUCAGCCUCCCAAGUAGCUGGGACUACAGACCUGUGCCACCAUUCCUGGCUGAUUUUUGUAUUUUUAGUAGACACGGGGUUUCACCAUGUUGGCCAGGCUGGUCUCGAACUCCCAGCUACUCUACAGGUGUCCAUUACAGGAGCCCGUUCUCAGGUGAUCCACCCACCUUGGCCUCCCAAAGUGGGAGGCUACCCAGCUUUAACAGCAGGUAAGAAUACUCACCUCUGAAUAUUAGUGUCUGCAUUCAAUCUCCUCCUUGCCAUACGUAAUUGAUAUUCACACUGCCCAAUAUCCAGUUCUCCCUUCCUUUUUCAGUGUAUGGAAGUACCUUCCCAAUGACUUUGAGUUAGGCAGGGCUACGUGACUAAUUCUGGCCAAUAGAAUAUGAAUCAUAAGUGAUGUGUCAUUUCCUUUCUGAGGCCCCUGCAAGAUUCUCCAGGCUUCAUCUUGCUCAUCAUAGAGGAGGCCUUGUACUGAAAGCGUGGAGCCACAAGAUAGAAGCUGCCUGGAUCCCUGAGUCACCACAUGUCAUCACGUGGAAGGCAGAAGCCCUGGA
rnacentral:lncRNA from 1 species